rnacentral:rRNA from 1 species
CCUACGGGGGGCUGCAGUCGAGAAUCUUUCACAAUGGGGGCAACCCUGAUGGAGCGACGCCGCGUGGAGGAUAAGGUCUUCGGAUUGUAAACUCCUGUCAUGCGAGAACAAGGUUGCAGGGCUAACACCUUUGCAAAUUGAUGGUACCGCAAGAGGAAGAGACGGCUAACUCUGUGCCAGCAGCCGCGGUAAUACAGAGGUCUCAAGAGUUGGUCGGAAUCGCUCGUCGGUGGCGUGGUGUGUGUGGUGUGAAAGCCCGGGGCUCAACCUCGGAAUUGCAUCCGAUACUGCCAUGCUGGAGUACUGAAGAGGUGACUAGAAUUCUAGGUGUAGCAGUGAAAUGCGUAGAUAUCUAGAGGAAUACCAACGGCGAAGGCAGGUCACUGGGCAGUUACUGACACUGAGGCACGAAGGCCAGGGGAGCAAACGGGAUUAGAUACCCUGGUAGUC